AGCGUCGCUGCAGUCGCCGUUGUUUUCAUCAUUAUUUUAAAAAAAUUCAGAAUCAGAUUUUCUCGGGCACUCUACUCGGCCGCAAUUUUGUUCAAUUUUGUUUCAGUUUUCGUUGAGUUUUCUUUCAACUAUGAAGCCUUUCUAAUUUUGAUUCCAGACUCGACAGCGGUGUUAAUUACUAACAUAUUUUAUAGUUAUUACCAUAAAAUAUCCACCAUUGGAAACGUGCUUGUGUUUUCUGCGAUUUGCACUACGGGCUACGGUUGAUUUGUAGUAAGUAAAUCCAUUGUCUACGAACAUGUUGAAGAAUCGUGUUUUUAAGGUUACGUAAAUAAUCCUCUUCCUUUGCACCUCUGAAGCUCAAAAUCAGUGCCAAAUGCUAGAGUAGUGUUCAUUCAAUAGCCCUUCGUUAAUUAAUCUACGAUUACUAUGUGCUGUGUUUCUCCUAGUGUUCCUGUGCUUUAAUUUAUGUGUGUUCAGAAAUUUACCAUCCAAAGGAAUUAACUACACACUCAGUGAUGCUGUUUGGAACUUCCUGAUCAACUUUUGAAGAUGUCCGGAGUCGGAGUGGGGGUCGGCUCUGUGGAGAUGUCGCCCCAUUUGGUCUCGCUCAACCCCCCUGCAAACUAUACCCCCUGCCUGAAGGACGCAGUGUGAUUGAUCCCGUCAAUCAGCGCAGGUCAGUAGACUGCGCAAUUCAUACAUCUAUAUCAAUCUUCGCAGCUCAUGAUGAGAUAAGCAAAGCGCACCUGUGCAGGUGCUUGCACAGUGGACUCGCUGCGACAGAAUUUUCUCGUUAUUUUUGCAUCGAAAUGCAUCCGUCGAUGUGCUGAAACUACACCGCUGACCAGUCAGAAGCUCCAAAAUAGACCGGGUUGCGUGAGCGUGGGGAGCGGAAGCGGGGUGGACGUGGCGAUCCCGAGGGUGGCGAGCGGGGGUGGGGGCGGGACCGGGGACCUGGGGAGUUACUGCAUCCUCGAGAACCGCAACGGCAUCGUCACCCUCACCCCCUUCGCCGAGGACACCCGAGUCAACGGCCGCGCCGUCCAACAAACCGUCCGGCUCGAACCAGGAAGCACAAUUGCAGUUGGACAGUCGGGUCUUUUUAAAUUUA
rnacentral:lncRNA from 1 species